UUAAACAUGCAAGUCGAGCGGUAACAGACAUAAAGAUUCAGCUUGCUGAAUCCGGUGCUGACGAGCGGCGAACGGGUGAGUAACGCGUAGGAAUCUACCCAGUAGCGGGGGAUAGCCCGAGGAAACUCGGAUUAAUACCGCAUACGCCCUGAGGGGGAAAGGGGGCAGUUUACUGCUCUCACUAUUGGAUGAGCCUGCGUAAGAUUAGCUUGUUGGUGGGGUAAUGGCCUACCAAGGCAACGAUCUUUAGCUGGUCUGAGAGGACGAUCAGCCACAUUGGGACUGAGACACGGCCCAGACAUCUACGGAUGGCAGCAGUUAAGAAUAUUGGACAAUGGGGGCAACCCUGAUCCAGGUAUACCGCGUGUGUGAAGAAGGCCCUAGGGUUGUAAAGCACUUUAAUCAGAGAAGAAGCAUUUUAAGUUAAUACCUUAAUAUGUUGACGUUACCUGAAGAAUAAGGACCGGCUAACUCCGUGCCAGCAGCCGCGGUAAUACGGAGGGUCCAAGCGUUAAUCGGAAUUACUGGGCGUAAAGCGCGCGUAGGCGGUUUAGCAAGUUGUAUGUGAAAGCCCUGGGCUCAACCUAGGAACUGCAUUCAAAACUACUAAGCUAGAGUACGAGAGAGGAGAGUAGAAUUUCUGGUGUAGCGGUGAAAUGCGUAGAUAUCAGAAGGAAUACCAAUGGCGAAGGCAGCUCUCUGGCUCGUCACUGACGCUGAGGUGCGAAAGCGUGGGUAGCAAACAGGAUUAGAUACCCUGGUAGUCCACGCCGUAAACGAUGAGAACUAGCCGUUGGGCAGAUUUAACUGUUCAGUGGCACAGCUAACGCAUUAAGUUCUCCGCCU
rnacentral:rRNA from 1 species